CAAUAGCGUAUAUUUAAGUUGUUGCAGUUAAAAAGCUCGUAGUUGGAUUUCGGUUAAGAGCGAACGGUCCGCCGUUUGGUGUGCACUGGUUGGUUUUAACUUCCUGUAGAGGACGUGCUCUGGGUUUAACGACCUGGACUCGGAGUCUACGUGGUUACUUUGAAAAAAUUAGAGUGUUCAAAGCGGGCUUACGCUUGAAUAUUUCAGCAUGGAAUAACACUAUAGGACUCCUGUCCUAUUUCGUUGGUCUCGGGACGGGAGUAAUGAUUAAGAGGAACAGUUGGGGGCAUUCGUAUUUCAUUGUCAGAGGUGAAAUUCUUGGAUUUAUGAAAGACGAACUUCUGCGAAAGCAUUUGCCAAGGAUGUUUUCAUUAA
rnacentral:rRNA from 1 species